rnacentral:rRNA from 1 species
AUGAGUAUCAUAAGUUGGAACUACCGCGGGGCUGGCAAACCCGCGACAGUUCGUGAGCUUCGUGAUCUAACGAAGCGUUUUGCCCCCUUUAUAUUAUGUAUUCUUGAAACUCAGAUAGAGGGCUCUAGAGUAGAGAGUAUGGUAGACAGUCUAGGUUUCGAUAAAAGUUUUGCAGUCAGUAGUGCUGGUAGGAGUGGUGGUCUUGGUGUAUUUUGGAAAGAUUCAAUAAAAGCUAAAGUUAUUUGUUAUUCCCAGUAUCAUAUAGAUAUGGAAAUAGAGGAACUUGUCAACUCCCCUUUUCGGUUGACCUUUGUUUAUGGGAGUACCUAG